rnacentral:rRNA from 1 species
UACGUAGGGUGCAAGCGUUAAUCGGAAUUACUGGGCGUAAAGCGUGCGCAGGCGGUUAUGUAAGACAGAUGUGAAAUCCCCGGGCUUAACCUGGGAAUUGCAUUUGUGACUGCCCGGCUAGAGUGUGUCAGAGGGGGGUAGAAUUCCACGUGUAGCAGUGAAAUGCGUAGAGAUGUGGAGGAAUACCGAUGGCGAAGGCAGCCCCCUGGGAUAACACUGACGCUCAUGCACGAAAGCGUGGGGAGCAAACAGG